UACUGCUCAGUAACACGUGGACAACCUGCCCUUAGGACGGGGAUAAACCCGGGAAACUGGGUAUAAUACCCGAUAGGUCUCGAUUGCUGGAAUGCAUCGAGAUUUAAAGCUCCGGCGCCUAAGGAUGGGUCUGCGGCCUAUCAGGUAGUAGUGGGUGUAGCGUACCUACUAGCCUACGACGGGUACGGGUUGUGAGAGCAAGAGCCCGGAGAUGGAUUCUGAGACACGAAUCCAGGCCCUACGGGGUGCAGCAGGCGCGAAAACUUUACAAUGCUGGCAACAGCGAUAAGGGAACCUCGAGUGCCAGGUUACAAAUCUGGCUGUCGAGAUGCCUAAAAAGCAUUUCAUAGCAAGGGCCGGGCAAGACCGGUGCCAGCCGCCGCGGUAACACCGGCGGCUCGAGUGGUAACCGUUAUUAUUGGGUCUAAAGGGUCUGUAGCCGGCCGGAUAAGUCUCUUGAGAAAUCUGGCAGCUUAACUGUCAGGCUUUCAGGAGAUACUGUCUGGCUCGAGGCCGGGAGAGGUGAGAGGUACUUCAGGGGUAGGGGUGAAAUCUUGUAAUCCUUGAAGGACCACCAGUGGCGAAGGCGUCUCACCAGAACGGACCUGACGGCAAGGGACGAAAGCUAGGGGCACGAACCGGAUUAGAUACCCGGGUAGUCCUAGCCGUAAACGAUACUCGCUAGGUGUCGGCCACGGUGCGACCGUUGUCGGUGCCGUAGGGAAGCCGUGAAGCGAGCCACCUGGGAAGUACGGCCGCAAGGCUGAAACUUAAAGGAAUUGGCGGGGGAGCAC
rnacentral:rRNA from 1 species